GAUGAACGCUGGCGGCGUGCCUAAUACAUGCAAGUCGAGCGAACAGACGAGGAGCUUGCUCCUCUGACGUUAGCGGCGGACGGGUGAGUAACACGUGGAUAACCUACCUAUAAGACUGGGAUAACUUCGGGAAACCGGAGCUAAUACCGGAUAAUAUAUUGAACCGCAUGGUUCAAUAGUGAAAGACGGUUUUGCUGUCACUUAUAGAUGGAUCCGCGCCGCAUUAGCUAGUUGGUAAGGUAACGGCUUACCAAGGCAACGAUGCGUAGCCGACCUGAGAGGGUGAUCGGCAACAAUGGAACUUAGACACGGUCCAGACUCCUACGGGAGGCAGCAGUAGGGAAUCUUCCGCAAUGGGCGAAAGCCUGACGGAUCAACGCCGCGUGAGUGAUGAAGGUCGUCGGAUCGUAAAACUCUGUUAUUAGGGAAUAACAAAUGUGUAAGUAACUAUGCACGUCUUGACGGUACCUAAUCAGAAAGCCACGGCUAACUACGUG
rnacentral:rRNA from 1 species